UUCUGGGCCUUGCAUUUUGAAAGAACAUUCUAUACAAAACAAGUCUCUUGUGUUUCAUUGAUUGGCCAUAGCACCCAGUUUCAUGUAUUUGAAUUGACAAGACAGCUCCCUCGAUUCUCCAUGUAUGCGCUGACCAGCCUGGACCCUGCCAGUGAGCCAAUCAGUUAUGUUAACUUUACCAUUGCAGAACGGGCACAGAGGGUUGUCGUAUGGCUCGGUCAGAACUUUCUGUUACCAGAAGACACUCACAUUCAGAACGCUCCAUUUCAAGUGUGUUUCACAUCUUUACGGAAUGGUGGCCACCUGCAUAUAAAAAUAAAACUUAGUGGAGAGAUCACUAUAAAUACUGAUGAUAUUGAUUUGGCUGGUGAUAUCAUCCAGUCAAUGGCAUCAUUUUUUGCUAUUGAAGACCUUCAAGUAGAAGCGGAUUUUCCUGUCUAUUUUGAGGAAUUACAAAAGGUGCUAGUUAAGGUGGAUGAAUAUCAUUCAGUGCAUCAGAAGCUCAGUGCUGAUAUGGCUGAUCAUUCUAAUUUGAUCCGAAGUUUGCUGGUCGGAGCUGAGGAUGCUCGUCUGAUGAGGGACAUGAAAACAAUGAAGAGUCGUUAUAUGGAACUCUAUGACCUUAAUAGAGACUUGCUAAAUGGAUAUAAAAUUCGCUGUAACAAUCACACAGAGCUGUUGGGAAACCUCAAAGCAGUAAAUCAAGCAAUUCAAAG
rnacentral:sRNA from 1 species